GAGUUUGAUCGUGGCUCAGAACGAACGCUGGCGGCAGGCUUAACACAUGCAAGUCGAACGCCUGUAGCAAUACAGGAGUGGCAGACGGGUGAGUAACACGUGGGAACGUGCCCAAAGGUACGGAACAACUCCGGGAAACUGGAGCUAAUACCGUAUGUGCCCGAAAGGGGAAAGAUUUAUCGCCUUUGGAUCGGCCCGCGUCUGAUUAGCUAGUUGGUGGGGUAAUGGCCUACCAAGGCGACGAUCAGUAGCUGGUCUGAGAGGAUGGCCAGCCACACUGGGACUGAGACACGGCCCAGACUCCUACGGGAGGCAGCAGUGGGGAAUAUUGGACAAUGGGUGCAAGCCUGAUCCAGCCAUGCCGCGUGAGUGGUGAAGGCCUUAGGGUUGUAAAGCUCUUUCGCCAGGGACGAUAAUGACGGUACCUGGAUAAGAAGCCCCGGCUAACUUCGUGCCAGCCGCCGCAGUAAU
rnacentral:rRNA from 1 species